rnacentral:snRNA from 1 species
UAGGAGCUUAGGCUCCCAAA